GAUGAACGCUGGCGGCGUGCUUAACACAUGCAAGUCGAACGGUGAACAUGGAGCUUGCUCUGUGGGAUCAGUGGCGAACGGGUGAGUAACGCGUGAGCAACCUGCCCCUGACUCUGGGAUAAGCGCUGGAAACGGCGUCUAAUACUGGAUACGAGUAGCGGCCGCAUGGUCAGUUACUGGAAAGAUUUUUUGGUUGGGGAUGGGCUCGCGGCCUAUCAGCUUGUUGGUGAGGUAAUGGCUCACCAAGGCGUCGACGGGUAGCCGGCCUGAGAGGGUGACCGGCCACACUGGGACUGAGACACGGCCCAGACUCCUACGGGAGGCAGCAGUGGGGAAUAUUGCACAAUGGGCGGAAGCCUGAUGCAGCAACGCCGCGUGAGGGAUGACGGCCUUCGGGUUGUAAACCUCUUUUAGCAGGGAAGAAGCGAAAGUGACGGUACCUGCAGAAAAAGCGCCGGCUAACUACGUGCCAGCCGCCGCCGUAA
rnacentral:rRNA from 1 species